rnacentral:lncRNA from 1 species
AUGCAUUUUGGAUUUCCUCUCAUAUUUCCUUCUAUCUGUAUCUCUGGGCAAAUGUGUAAAGCCAUAUUUCUGUCAAAGAUACCUUUUAUUAAGGUUAUUUUUAAAAUGAGUAAGGUGGAAAACGGACUUCUUACAUAUUCAUAUUAUGUACACUCAAUUAAUUUUAAAUUGCCAUUUUAUAUUUGUGGGUGUAUUAGCUUAUUUUCCAAAGCUAAUACCAUCUGUAGAGGUGUGUGAGUGUGUAUGUCUCAAAAGGAAGAAAAGAAAAACAUAAUUGGUAGCCAACCACUGGGUCCUAGCAUGUUCCUUCUGCUGGGUUCUUUCAUUUAUUUCUAGGCAUAUUGAUUUUUAGACAUUUAUUUUCAAUAUACACAUUUAUUUUAGAGUAAAGACUAUGUCUGUGACUUUAGGUCUAUGACUGUAGCCAAAGCAAUUAUGUAGCCAGCUGUACAAUUAGGUUAAGAUUUGUACUUGUUUGUUUUUCCAUCACCCUAGAGAAUGCCUCCACUAGUGUUUUGAGAUCCUACUAUUCAAGGUAAAAUUCAGAAUAGGAGCAGUAUAACCAUUAAUUGCACAUUAGAUUUUUUUUUAAUUUAAUUGGAUAAUAAGUCAGUGUCCUCUACUCUUGAAAUUAGAUCACAGAAAAUCUGCUUAAAAUCUGUUUUCCAAAGUGAUUGUCUUUUCCAUGGUAGAGGCAAAGCUUUUCACCAACAGUUUCACUCUUUUUACCAUGAUGACCCCCCUCUGCUACACUAAAUGGCAGUGUAUUAUAGCCUUAAGUCACCACACUCAUACACACAUUCCCUGGUUAAUGGUCUUCUGUGCACAUGAUACUCUGUCUAAUUUAAAACUGGACCUCCAUUAAGAAAAAGAAAACAUAGAAAAUCACUGAAGUCAUCCUUCUAGGUUUCUUGCUUAUUCUAUACUCUGUUCUUCAUCUUCUGAUCUCUGUUUUAUUAUAUUUUAAAGGCAACAAGAUUCUCUCUUAAACUCAAGUUUCCAAUGAUUCUCUUUGUAAAUAUCUCUGUUUACAAAUAGAUUUUCCUUCUUAUGAUUUUAUUUAAGUUGGAAAAUGUAUAGCUUGCCAACUAUUCCCCAUUUUAUUUUAUUGCUGUUGCU